UACGUAGGGGGCGAGCGUUGUCCGGAUUUAUUGGGCGUAAAGAGCUCGUAGGCGGUGUGUCGCGUCGGCCGUGAAAACCUGCAGCUUAACUGUGGGCUUGCGGUCGAUACGGGCAUCACUGGAGUUCGGCAGGGGAGACUGGAAUUCCUGGUGUAGCGGUGAAAUGCGUAGAUAUCGGGAGGAACAUCAGUGGCGAAAGGGCGGCCAUCUGGGACAACCACUGACGCUGAAGCACGAAAAGCGUGGGGAGCAAACAGGGAAUUAGAUACCCGGAGUACAGUCCAGACCAAUGACGUCUCGUCUAACCC
rnacentral:rRNA from 1 species